rnacentral:rRNA from 1 species
AUUGAACGCUGGCGGCAGGCCUAACACAUGCAAGUCGAGCGUGCGGCGGACGGGUGCGUAAUGUCUUGUAAACUGCCUGAUGGAGGGGGAUAACUACUGGAAACGGUAUCUAAUACCGCAUACCAUCAGCUUUGCCCAGAUGGGAUUAGCUAGUGGGUGGGGUAACGGCUCACCUAGGCGACGAUCCCUAGCUGGUCUGCGAGGAUGACCAGCCACACUGGAACUGAGACACGGUCCAGACUCCUACGGGAGGCAGCAGUGGGGAAUAUUGCACAAUGGGCGCAAGCCUGAUGCAGCCAUGCCGCGUGUGUGAAGAAGGCCUUCGGGUUGUAAAGCACUUUCAGCGGGGAGGCGUUACCCGCAGAAGAAGCACCGGCUAACUCCGUGCCAGCCGCCGCGGUAAUAC